UACGGGGGGAGCAAGCGUUGUUCGGAUUUACUGGGCGUAAAGGGCGCGUAGGCGGUCAGCACAAGUCAGUUGUGAAAUCUCCGGGCUUAACCCGGAAAGGUCAACUGAUACUGUGCGACUAGAGUGCGGAAGGGGCAACUGGAAUUCUCGGUGUAGCGGUGAAAUGCGUAGAUAUCGAGAGGAGCACCUGCGGCGAAGGCGGGUUGCUGGGCCGACACUGACGCUGAUGCGCGAAAGCCAGGGGAGCGAACGGG
rnacentral:rRNA from 1 species